GACUAGCCCCGAUUGUAGUGAAAAUCCUUUUUUGAAAAAAAAGAUUGCAGCGGAAAGCGGGAAACAGC
rnacentral:sRNA from 1 species